rnacentral:rRNA from 1 species
CCUACGGGGGGCAGCAGUGAGGAAUAUUGGUCAAUGGCCGCAGGGCUGAACCAGCCAAGUCGCGUGAGGGAUGACGGUCCUAUGGAUUGUAAACCUCUUUUGUCAGGGAGCAAAGGGCGCCACGUGUGGCGCUUUGCGAGUACCUGAAGAAAAAACAUCGGCUAACUCCGUGCCAGCAGCCGCGGUAAUACGGAGGAUGCGAGCGUUAUCCGGAUUUAUUGGGUUUAAAGGGUGCGCAGGCGGAAUGUCAAGUCAGCGGUAAAAUUUCGGGGCUCAACCCCGUCGUGCCGUGGAAACUGGGGUUCUUGAGUGAGCGAGAGGUAUGCGGAAUGCGUGGUGUAGCGGUGAAAUGCAGAGAUAUCACGCAGAACCCCGAUUGCGAAGGCAGCAUACCGGCGCGCAACUGACGCUCAUGCACGAAAGCGUGGGUAUCGAACAGGAUUAGAUACCCUUGUAGUC